CUUAAAUAGAGGAUGUGAAGUCCACCUUGAAUUCAAUUUCAGGUCUAAACCAGUCCUUUGAUAGGCACCAGGGAGAAAAACAGAUGUGAUCUCAGCUUUCAACAAUUAAGAAAUCAUCCAAGUUCAGACAGUUUC
rnacentral:lncRNA from 12 species